UAGGACAUGGUGUAAUGGUAGCACUAAGAAUUUUGAAUUCUUAGGUUUAGGUUCAAUCCCUAUUGUUCUAG
rnacentral:tRNA from 2 species